rnacentral:rRNA from 1 species
CUUGGUGCUUUUAACACGGGUGUUCACCUGUUCUCAUUCCGAACACAGAAGUUAAGCCCCGUCGUGCCGAUGGUAGUGCUCAUUUGAGUGCAAGAGUAGGUAGGCGCCAGGA